rnacentral:rRNA from 1 species
AUUGAACGCUGGCGGCAGGCCUAACACAUGCAAGUCGAGCGAGCGGCGGACGGGUGAGUAAUGUAUGGGGAUCUGCCCGAUAGAGGGGGAUAACUACUGGAAACGGUGGCUAAUACCGCGUACCAUAGGAUGAGCCCAAGUGGGAUUCGGUAGUUGGUGGGGUAAAGGCUCACCAAGCCGACGAUCUCUAGCUGGUCUGGGAGGAUGAUAAGCCACACUGGGAAUGAGACCCGGCCCAGACUCAGACGGGAGGCAGCAGUGGGUAAUAUUGCACUAUGGGCGCAAGCCUGAUGCAGCCAUGGCGCGUGUAUGAAGAAGGCCUUAGGGUUGUAAAGUACGUUCAGCGGGGAGGCGUUACCCGCAGAAGAAGCACCGGCUAACUCCGUGCCAGCCGCCGCGGUAAUUC